rnacentral:rRNA from 1 species
AUUGAACGCUGGCGGCAGGCCUAACACAUGCAAGUCGAACGAGUGGCGGACGGGUGAGUAAUUUCUGGGAAACUGCCUGAUGGAGGGGGAUACCUACUGGAAACGGUAGCUAAUACCGCAUACCAUCAGAUGUGCCCAGAUGGGAUUAGCUUGUUGGUGGGGUAACGGCUCACCAAGGCGACGAUCCCUAGCUGGUCUGAGAGGAUGACCAGCCACACUUGAACUGAGACAGGGUCCAGACUCCUACGGGAGGAAGCAGUGGGCAAUAUUGCACGAUGGGCGCAUGCAUGAUGCAGCCAGGCCGCGUGUAUGGAGAAGGCCUUCGGGUUGUAAAGUACUUUCAGCGGGAAGGCGUUACCCGCAGAAGAAGCACCGGCUAACCCCGUACGAGCAGCCGCGGUAAUAC